UACGUAGGAGGCGAGCGUUGUCCGGAAUUACUGGGCGUAAAGCGUGCGUAGGCGGUUUGUUAAGUCUGCUGUGAAAUCCCCGGGCUCAACCUGGGAAUGGCAGUGGAUACUGGCAAGCUAGAGUGUGUCAGAGGAUGGUGGAAUUCCCGGUGUAGCGGUGAAAUGCGUAGAGAUCGGGAGGAACACCAGUGGCGAAGGCGGCCAUCUGGGACAACACUGACGCUGAGGCACGAAAGCGUGGGGAGCAAACAGG
rnacentral:rRNA from 1 species